UACUUUUUUUGUUAUAAUAAAAAUGGUAUGUAGGAAUUUCGGACGCGGGUUCAACUCCCGCCAGCUCCACCA
rnacentral:tmRNA from 2 species